AACGAACGCUGGCGGCAUGCCUAACACAUGCAAGUCGAACGAGAUCCUUCGGGGUCUAGUGGCGCACGGGUGCGUAACGCGUGGGAAUCUGCCCUUUGCUUCGGAAUAACAGUUAGAAAUGACUGCUAAUACCCGAUGAUGUCUUCGGACCAAAGAUUUAUCGGCAAGGGAUGAGCCCGCGUAGGAUUAGGUAGUUGGUGGGGUAAAGGCCUACCAAGCCGACGAUCCUUAGCUGGUCUGAGAGGAUGAUCAGCCACACUGGGACUGAGACACGGCCCAGACUCCUACGGGAGGCAGCAGUGGGGAAUAUUGGACAAUGGGCGCAAGCCUGAUCCAGCAAUGCCGCGUGAGUGAUGAAGGCCUUCGGGUCGUAAAGCUCUUUUACCAGGGAUGAUAAUGACAGUACCUGGAGAAUAAGCUCCGGCUAACUCCGUGCCAGCCGCCGCGGUAACAC
rnacentral:rRNA from 1 species